CCCCCAUCGAGCUGCUUUAUCUCAGAUCUAGGGUUUCUCUUGGCGAUGCAAAUGCAAGAUCUGGCUUUCUCAAUGACACCAGAUCAGCGAAUCUCUCUCUAUACGACACCCAAUCGACUGAGUUUGAAGGUGGUGAAGGGCUUGGAUCUGCCAAUCAGUGACGUAUGAGCAAGGGGGUGUUUGGUCUGCCAAUCGGUGAUGUAUGAGCAAGAUUUCACAAGAUCUAAAGACGGCGUGGUGUGUAGCGUUAAAUCCGACGACUACGGUUCCGGUGGUAUAAUUCUUAAGCCGAUCGGUGGCAAUAGAGACGAGUUUCGGUUUUAGAUGGUGGUUGAGGUAGGUUCCGACAAACUGAGUUGCAGAUCUAGGUUUCACCAGUUGGCGUAGGCGAUACUGCAUCAUCAAAAUGAAUGGUUUCUGAAUGGAGAUCCCUAAAGAUACUACACCCACAAACGGAGGUACCAGAUCUGGUGGUGAUGGCGGCUGGGUUUCGCCGCAGGCGGUAUAGACAUUUGUUCACACCCGAAUUGUACUGUCUGAUCAAAACACGAAGAGCCUAAAGGCAGAGCUCAGAGCCAUUCUUCUGGAACUAGAAGAAAUGAGGAAGAGGAAAUCCGAAAGAAAGAAUCUGUUCAUCGAAGUUUUAGAACAGAUACAAAGAUACAAAUGGAAAUUUACACAACUUCUACUAAGACACUCUUGGAUGAAACUGAUUUAUCAUUAAGAAAAAUUGAAGAACUUCAUGUGCAGUUACAAGCACUUGAGAAACAGAAGGAACCCUGCUACUUUUCUUCAUGCAUACACUUGUCUUCCCCUUGCUUACGCUACAAGGCAAGCUGCUGAUGCUAUUUUGCAAGAUGUUGCUGAUACGGGUGUCGUUUACCUUGAAAGGGAUCGUUUACCUUCCACUGAAAACUAUAUGUUCAAGGUGAUAAUUAAUGGUUGGGCUUAGAAGAUGGUGUGAUUGGUGGUGUUGAAGCUGUGGAUUCGAGUUUGU